AUUGAACGCUGGCGGCGUGCUUAACACAUGUAAGUCGUGCGGUAACAGGCGUAGCAAUACGUGCUGACGAGCGGCGAACGGGUGCGUAAUACAUGGGAAUCUGCCCUUUAGUGGGGAAUAACCCGGCGAAAGCCGGGCUAAUGCCGCAUAAGAUCUUCGGAUGAAAGCGGGGGAUCGUAAGACCUCGCGCUGGUGGAUGAGCCCAUGUCGGAUUAGCUAGUUGGNGAGGCAACGGCUCACCAAGGCGACGAUCCGUAGCUGGUCUGAGAGGACGGCCAGCCACACUGGGACUGAGACACGGCCCAGACUCCUACGGGAGGCAGCAGUGGGGAAUAUUGGACAAUGGGCGAAAGCCUGAUCCAGCGACGCCGCGUGUGUGAAGAAGGCCUGCGGGUUGUAAAGCACUUUCGAU
rnacentral:rRNA from 1 species